GUGAAAUACUCCUGACUGACCGAUAGUGAACCAGUACCGUGAGGGAAAGGCGAAAAGAACCCCGGCGAGGGGAGUGAAAAAGAACCUGAAACCGUGUACGUACAAGCAGUGGGAGCCUCUUUUAUGGGGUGACUGCGUACCUUUUGUAUAAUGGGUCAGCGACUUAUAUUCUGUAGCAAGGUUAACCGAAUAGGGGAGCCGAAGGGAAACCGAGUCUUAACUGGGCGUUAAGUUGCAGGGUAUAGACCCGAAACCCGGUGAUCUAGCCAUGGGCAGGUUGAAGGUUGGGUAACACUAACUGGAGGACCGAACCGACUAAUGUUGAAAAAUUAGCGGAUGACUUGUGGCUGGGGGUGAAAGGCCAAUCAAACCGGGAGAUAGCUGGUUCUCCCCGAAAGCUAUUUAGGUAGCGCCUCGUGAAUUCAUCUCCGGGGGUAGAGCACUGUUUCGGCAAGGGGGUCAUCCCGACUUACCAACCCGAUGCAAACUGCGAAUACCGGAGAAUGUUAUCACGGGAGACACACGGCGGGUGCUAACGUCCGUCGUGAAGAGGGAAACAACCCAGACCGCCAGCUAAGGUCCCAAAGUCAUGGUUAAGUGGGAAACGAUGUGGGAAGGCCCAGACAGCCAGGAUGUUGGCUUAGAAGCAGCCAUCAUUUAAAGAAAGCGUAAUAGCUCACUGGUCGAGUCGGCCUGCGCGGAAGAUGUAACGGGGCUAAACCAUGCACCGAAGCUGCGGCAGCGACGCUUAUGCGUUGUUGGGUAGGGGAGCGUUCUGUAAGCCUGUGAAGGUGUGCUGUGAGGCAUGCUGGAGGUAUCAGAAGUGCGAAUGCUGACAUAAGUAACGAUAAAGCGGGUGAAAAGCCCGCUCGCCGGAAGACCAAGGGUUCCUGUCCAACGUUAAUCGGGGCAGGGUGAGUCGACCCCUAAGGCGAGGCCGAAAGGCGUAGUCGAUGGGAAACAGGUUAAUAUUCCUGUACUUGGUGUUACUGCGAAGGGGGGACGGAGAAGGCUAUGUUGGCCGGGCGACGGUUGUCCCGGUUUAAGCGUGUAGGCUGGUUUUCCAGGCAAAUCCGGAAAAUCAAGGCUGAGGCGUGAUGACGAGGCACUACGGUGCUGAAGCAACAAAUGCCCUGCUUCCAGGAAAAGCCUCUAAGCAUCAGGUAACAUCAAAUCGUACCCCAAACCGACACAGGUGGUCAGGUAGAGAAUACCAAGGCGCUUGAGAGAACUCGGGUGAAGGAACUAGGCAAAAUGGUGCCGUAACUUCGGGAGAAGGCACGCUGAUAUGUAGGUGAAGUCCCUUGCGGAUGGAGCUGAAAUCAGUCGAAGAUACCAGCUGGCUGCAACUGUUUAUUAAAAACACAGCACUGUGCAAACACGAAAGUGGACGUAUACGGUGUGACGCCUGCCCGGUGCCGGAAGGUUAAUUGAUGGGGUCAGCGCAAGCGAAGCUCUUGAUCGAAGCCCCGGUAAACGGCGGCCGUAACUAUAACGGUCCUAAGGUAGCGAAAUUCCUUGUCGGGUAAGUUCCGACCUGCACGAAUGGCGUAAUGAUGGCCAGGCUGUCUCCACCCGAGACUCAGUGAAAUUGAACUCGCUGUGAAGAUGCAGUGUACCCGCGGCAAGACGGAAAGACCCCGUGAACCUUUACUAUAGCUUGACACUGAACAUUGAGCCUUGAUGUGUAGGAUAGGUGGGAGGCUUUGAAGUGUGGACGCCAGUCUGCAUGGAGCCGACCUUGAAAUACCACCCUUUAAUGUUUGAUGUUCUAACGUUGACCCGUAAUCCGGGUUGCGGACAGUGUCUGGUGGGUAGUUUGACUGGGGCGGUCUCCUCCUAAAGAGUAACGGAGGAGCACGAAGGUUGGCUAAUCCUGGUCGGACAUCAGGAGGUUAGUGCAAUGGCAUAAGCCAGCUUGACUGCGAGCGUGACGGCGCGAGCAGGUGCGAAAGCAGGUCAUAGUGAUCCGGUGGUUCUGAAUGGAAGGGCCAUCGCUCAACGGAUAAAAGGUACUCCGGGGAUAACAGGCUGAUACCGCCCAAGAGUUCAUAUCGACGGCGGUGUUUGGCACCUCGAUGUCGGCUCAUCACAUCCUGGGGCUGAAGUAGGUCCCAAGGGUAUGGCUGUUCGCCAUUUAAAGUGGUACGCGAGCUGGGUUUAGAACGUCGUGAGACAGUUCGGUCCCUAUCUGCCGUGGGCGCUGGAGAACUGAGGGGGGCUGCUCCUAGUACGAGAGGACCGGAGUGGACGCAUCACUGGUGUUCGGGUUGUCAUGCCAAUGGCACUGCCCGGUAGCUAAAUGCGGAAGAGAUAAGUGCUGAAAGCAUCUAAGCACGAAACUUGCCCCGAGAUGAGUUCU
rnacentral:rRNA from 1 species